ensembl:lncRNA APTR Alu-mediated CDKN1A/p21 transcriptional regulator
UCUUCGGAGGUCAGAGCUCGGCGGGGUGCGGCUAGUGGCGGAGCGCGCUGCGAGGGGAGGGCUUUCCACUGUCGCUGGCGUGAACUCGCGUGCCCGGCUUCACCAGGUACUGCCUUCUAACGAGCUGGCCAUUUCCACAUGUCAGAUAGGACCAACUUGCCUUUUAACUACCCGUGUGAUACUUAAACACUGUUGCCGGUAUCACAGCUUUUCUUCAAAACAGGAAGCAACGAGAAUGAGGGCAUUCCAGUAGCAGGAGACAGCAUGCAUAGAGAUGCUGAUGAAGAAAGAGCCUAGCGCACGUGGGAAACUGCAAAAGUUCAGACUGGUUGGAAUGCUGGAAAUGUUGUGAAUGACAGGAGAUGAGGCUGGCGAGAAAACAGAGGUAUCACCAGUCUGUGGGUACAAAAGGAGAGUAACAUGAACGAUUCAAAUUCCACUGGCUCUUGUUCCCAUGGAUUCACAGAAGUUCAGCCCCAUUUCAAAACUUCACAUUUGCUUCUGGGAAGCCCAUUCUGGAAAGUUUCUCUGUGGCCCUCUCCAGAAGGCAGCGCGACUUCCACCCAGCAACACAAGUCUCUGCAGCACCUGCCCCAGCAGCGCCAGCUGAGCCCCGGAAGCUGGGAAGGCUUAAGCUGACUCUUCUGCUGCACAUAGCAAAAAAUGGUCAUUUCUGUAGUUGCAGCUCCAGAUCUACAAUAAUCAAUCUAUAUCCAUAUUUUAUGGGGUUUUUUUGAGACAAAGUCUUGCUCUGUUACUCAGGCUGGAGUGCAGUGGCAUUAUCAUCAUUCACUUGUAGCCUUGACCUCCCUGGCUCAGGUGAUCCUGUCACCUCAGCCUUCCAAGUAGCUGAGACCACAGGCAUGCACCACUAAGCCUGGCUAAUUUUUCAAUUUUUAUUUUUCGUAGAGACAGGGUCUCCCUGGGUUGCCCAAACUGGUCUUGAAUUCCUGGGCUCAAGCAAUCCUCCUGUCCCGGCACCCCGAAGUGUUGGGACUACAGGCAUGAGCCACUGUGCACAGCCCUUUUUGUUUUUGUUUUUGUUUUUUUUUAAAGGUAAUUUCCCAGUGGAAUCCUCGAGAUUUCUUCACGUUUUUGGAAAAAUGAGUUACAUUUUAGAUUGUUUUCCUUUUUGGAAUUUAAUGGUAUACAUUAUAUUACAUAGCUAUGUUGAGCUCUAUUUCUAUUACACUAAAAAGUAGGCUAAUUGUCUUAACUUUCAUCAGUAAUGACAUUAAAUGUGUGAAGAUUAUACUUGGAAUAAAGCACUUGGAUUCAUUCAUUUCUUCAGUAAAUAUUUAUUGAGCACUAGUAUGUUCCAACGAGUGUCUGUCUACAUUCUGGGGACAAGUGAUAACUAAAUCCCUGUCCUCGUGGAGAGUUAACAAUCAACAAACUAACAAACAUUUAAUUUAUGUCAUCAACUCAUUUCCACAAAUAUAACAACAUCUUGACUUCAAGUUUCCUGAGUUUCUGGUCUAAAGAAUUGCUACCUUCAAGAGCUCAAAUCAUUUGUUGGGGAGAGAGGCCUGUGAUAUAUUUUCUCCUUUACAAUGAAAGUAGCUGUAAAAAGAGGAAGAGAAAUUCUGAGGGUAAAGAUAAAAAAUGUUGAAAUCUUCUUUCUGGAUUUCAGAUUGAGUCUCUUGCCCUAAUUGAUGCAAUUUACACUCCAUGCAUCUCCUUCCCUGGACCUUCUCCAGUUCUUGGGGACUACAGAUGAACUUACUUUUAAUGCAUUUUAUGGCAUUUGGAGGCCCUCCAGUGGACAAAUACUAUACCUGAAAAAAAUCCUUUUGCUGUGCUAAAGUGUUCAGGUGUGAAGUGUACUCAUGUUUGCAAAUCACUUUGAAAUAUAUAAACAAAAAUGAAUUAAUGGAUGAAUAGAGUGAUGCAUAGAUCAUUAGACAUGUGAUAAAAAUAACUGUUAAUUGUAGAAUCUAGAUGAUGAGUAUAUUAUAUGAUAUGGCCCAC